rnacentral:rRNA from 1 species
GAGUUUGAUCCUGGCUCAGGAUGAACGCUAGCGGCAGGCCUAACACAUGCAAGUCGAGGGGUAACAGGAAAGCUUGCUUUCGCUGACGACCGGCGCACGGGUGCGUAACGCGUAUGCAACCUACCUCAUACUGGAGAAUAGCCCCUGGAAACGGGGAUUAAUACUCCAUGGUAUCAUUCUUUCGCAUGUUAGAAUGAUUAAAGAAUUUCGGUAUGAGAUGGGCAUGCGUCCCAUUAGCUAGUUGGUGAGGUAACGGCUCACCAAGGCGACGAUGGGUAGGGGGCCUGAGAGGGUGGUCCCCCACACUGGUACUGAGACACGGACCAGACUCCUACGGGAGGCAGCAGUGAGGAAUAUUGGUCAAUGGAGGCAACUCUGAACCAGCCAUGCCGCGUGAAGGAUGACGGCCCUAUGGGUUGUAAACUUCUUUUGAAUAGGAAGAAACUUAUCUACGUGUAGAUAACUGACGGUACUAUUAGAAUAAG